AUACGUGUGUGUGUGUGUCAGGAGCGGGCCGCCAUGUUGGAGGUGGCAUGGAGGUUUCCUGUUUCCGGGACAACGAGAGAGCGCUUUGUUGUUUCCUUCUGUUCCCGGCAGAUUGCAUUGUAUUACGGCAGUGCUGAGAGGACCGUGGCUGCAGACCUGAGAUAUCACCUAAGGCUAUCACAGAUGUUGUGCUCUCAGCACAACGAAAAUAGGAAACAAGAAUUUGAAUAUAUUAAGAAUUACUGAACACGUGUAA